GUUCAAAACCCCAGCCGGCGAGGAGUUAGUUGUGUAAUCUAAUUUACCGACGUGUCUAACAACGAAAAUGCCAAUUAGCACAACAAACAUGAAGUUAAAAGCUCAAAAUGAACACCGACUCACUGUUGGUAGCAGCUCGGAGUUGUUUUUUUCCAGGGAGAAGAUAAGAAGAUAAUGGAGGUCGAUCAUGUGUGGGUGACUUGACUGGUUUUUACCGUCCAAGGACAGGAAUGCCUUCGACGUCUGCAUUGUCAUCGUGGAAAAUAUCAGUCCAUCCAUCCAUCAUUUUCCGCUUUUCCGAAGUCGGGUCGUGGGGGCAGCACCCUAAGCAGAGAAGGCCAGACUUCCCUUUCCCCAGCUACUUUGUCCAGCUCUUCCCACGGGAUCCCGAGGUGUUCCCAGCCGUGGAUACAUGCUGCCUCUCUGUGGUUAACUUCUGAAGUGCAGGAGAAUAAUGAAACAUUAAAAAAAUGAUGGAGUC